UCCAGAGAGGCAGCUGAGGCUGGGGAGGAGGCCGGGGCCAAGCCAAUGCAGGCUUCGGUCAGGGAAGGACUCGGACUUUAUCCCACGGGCGGUGGGCAGCCACUGUGGGUUUCUAAGCUGAAGUGGCACUAAACUGGGCUUGCACUGUGCAAGGAUCACUCCAGCUGCAGUGUGGACAACAGAUUAAAUGGAGAAGGGUGGACUGAAGAGACGGGUCAAGAGGCUGUUGCCCUAGUGAGCUGCAUCCCCUGGAAGUGCUGGAGGUUCUGGAGCUAAGUAGGGCAGAAGUCCUAGAAAGACCACCUCCAAGGCAUGAGACUUCAAAGAGAUCUGAAAUGGAAUCAGCCUUCUCACUGCACGCAAGUUUGGAUGGGUAUCUUCUGCGGCCAGCAACCUCUGGAGCACAUUUUACAGUUUAUUAACAUCAUUACUGAGUCUCAAUACAGAAAUGUUAGAAUCAAACAACAAUCCUCACAGCCUUUUUUCCUGGACUGAAGGACAGCCCCUGGAUGUUUUAAGGAAACAGAAAACUCAAGCCUUGCCAUUACCUACAACGCGUCAGUGGGAGGGCUUCACAACAAAACAGCUUUUGUCUAGGGCUACCUUAUGCAAUCUUGGUUCCUAACCAAGACUUGUUAAGGAACAUAUUUUAAGAAGAUAGCUUCAUUUCCCUAUAAUUAUUG